UGCAGGGCAAGAGCUCUGCAGGGCUCCAGCUGCUGUAAGUGAAGGCAGCGCUGUGCUGGGGAGCACACGCAUAACAUGUGGGGGGCACAACGAGCUAAUUUGCCUGAUAUGGAAAUCGGUGAAGAACACCAGCACCAAAGAAAAUGGGCAAUGGGUAUGAAAUCACAGUUCCUGGGAAAGGGAAAUACAGAUGGCCUUUGAGCCUCUGAAAAAAUGCUCACUCGCACCAAAAGAAAUGCAAAUUAAAUCUCCAUGGCCGUACCUUUUUUUCCUUCUUCUUCUUCUUUUUUUUUUUGCCUACUGGAGGAUCAAAAAUAAGAAAGUUACCUCAAAGAUAACAGGAAUGAAUCAGGUGAACCCUCAGAUGCCCAAACAAUGGAAUUCUACUCCGUGGCAACAAUGAAUGAAGUUCUUUGUGAACCAGCACAGAGCAACGCCCCCCCAGAAGCCGUUUGUGUCAACCCUGUUGUUCUGGAAGGGUUCAGCCUCCAGGCGCCUGGGGGAAUCCUGGGAUCUGUCCAGGUUGGGGAACCGAGGAAGAGACAGCAGAGGUUGGUCACCCAGCAGAUGCCCCCCCCCCACACCCCGGCCCAGCUCCAUGCUUUC